AUCCCAUGAUGAGGGCAAGCCAAGAGAUACUCUUGGAAGUGCUCCUACGCCUUAGGGAUUGACUCAUCUGAUGCAUGCUAAAAGUUGGUAAUCCUUUCACGAAGGGC
rnacentral:snoRNA from 1 species